UAGCUUGCUACUUCGGCGUCGAGCGGCGGACGGGUGAGUAAUGCCUAGGAAAUUGCCUUGAUGUGGGGGAUAACUAUUGGAAACGAUAGCUAAUACCGCAUAACGCCUACGGGCCAAAGAGGGGGAUCUUCGGACCUCUCGCGUCAAGAUAUGCCUAGGUGGGAUUAGCUAGUUGGUGAGGUAAUGGCUCACCAAGGCAACGAUCCCUAGCUGGUCUGAGAGGAUGAUCAGCCACACUGGAACUGAGACACGGUCCAGACUCCUACGGGAGGCAGCAGUGGGGAAUAUUGCACAAUGGGCGCAAGCCUGAUGCAGCCAUGCCGCGUGUAUGAAGAAGGCCUUCGGGUUGUAAAGUACUUUCAGUCGUGAGGAAGGUUCAUACGUUAAUAGCGUAUGGAUUUGACGUUAGCGAC
rnacentral:rRNA from 1 species